UGAACGCUGGCGGCGUGCUUAACACAUGCAAGUCGCACGAGAACUCUUUAGCUUGCUAAAGAUAGUAAAGUGGCGCACGGGUGAGUAACGCGUGGGUAAUCUACCUUCGAAUCGGGGAUAACAUUGCGAAAGCGAUGCUAAUACCGGAUGACAUCCCUUAUUCUUCGGGAUUUGGGAUCAAAGGUGGCCUCUUCUUGAAAGCUACUGUUUGAAGAUGAGCCCGCGUACCAUUAGCUUGUUGGUAGGGUAACGGCCUACCAAGGCUGCGAUGGUUAGCUGGUCUGAGAGGAUGAUCAGCCACACUGGAACUGACACACGGUCCAGACUCCUACGGGAGGCAGCAGUGAGGAAUUUUGCGCAAUGGGGGAAACCCUGACGCAGCAACGCCGCGUGAGUGAUGAAGGCUUUCGGGUCGUAAAGCUCUGUCAAGUGGGAAGAAACUGGAAAAUGCCAAUACCAUUUUCCAUUGACGGUACCACUGAAGGAAGCACCGGCUAACUCC
rnacentral:rRNA from 1 species